rnacentral:rRNA from 1 species
AUUGAACGCUGGCGGCAGGCCUAACACAUGCAAGUCGAGCGGAGCGGCGGACGGGUGAGUAAUGCCUAGGAAUCUGCCUGGUAGUGGGGGAUAACGUCCGGAAACGGGCGCUAAUACCGCAUACUAUCAGAUGAGCCUAGGUCGGAUUAGCUAGUUGGUGGGGUAAAGGCCUACCAAGGCGACGAUCCGUAACUGGUCGGCGAGGAAGAUCAGUCACACUGGAACUGUGACACGGUCCAGACUCCUACGGGCGGCAGCAGUGGGGAUUAUUGGACAAUGGGCGAAAGCCUUAUACGGCCAGGCCGCUGGUGUGAAGAAGUUCUUCGGAUUGUAAAGCACUUUAAGUUGGGAGGCGUUACCAACAGAAUAAGCACCGGCUAACUCCGUGCCAGCAGCCGCGGUAAUUC